UACGGGGGGGGCAAGCGUUGUUCGGAAUUACUGGGCGUAAAGGGCUCGUAGGCGGCCACCUAAGUCAGACGUGAAAUCCCUCGGCUUAACCGGGGAACUGCGUCUGAUACUGGAUGGCUUGAGUUUGGGAGAGGGAUGCGGAAUUCCAGGUGUAGCGGUGAAAUGCGUAGAUAUCUGGAGGAACACCGGUGGCGAAGGCGGGUCUCUGGGCCGAUACUGACGCUGAGGAGCGAAAGCGUGGGGAGCAAACAGG
rnacentral:rRNA from 1 species